UACCACUUCGCCGAAAGUAUUUGCUAACACAUUAUGCUCGCAUGCACAAACUCAUGUACGUGCGUUUGCGUGCAAUUCGGCGAAGUGGUCAUUCAGCGAAGUGGUAAUUCGACGGAGUGGCAAGUAGGCGAAGUGGUUAUUCGGUGAAGUAGCAAAUCGUUGAAGUGGUUGUCGACAAAGAGAUGGAUGGUGACUGUU